GACGAACGCUGGCGGCGUGCUUAACACAUGCAAGUCGAACGGAAAGGCCUGCUUUCCCUUGUGGAUUGCGGGUACUCGAGUGGCGAACGGGUGAGUAACACGUGAGUGAUCUGCCCCCAACUUGGGUAUAAGCCUGGGAAACUGGGUCUAAUUCCCGAUAGGACUGCAGGGUGGUGCCUGUGGUGGAAAACGAUUUUCUAGUGGUUGGGGAUGAGCUCGCGGCCUAUCAGCUUGUUGGUGGGGUAAUGGCCUACCAAGGCGGCGACGGGUAGCCGGCCUGGGAGGGUGGACGGGCACAUUGGGGCUGAGAUUCCGGCCAGAAUCCUACGGGAAGCAGGCGUGGGGGAUAUUGGCCCAGGGGGGGAAGCCUGGUGGAGGGACCGCCCGGUGGGGAUGACGGCCUUCGGGUUGUAAACUCCUUUCGACCGCGAGGAAGCCACCUGGUUGGAAGGGUGGUGACGGUAGUGGUAGAAGAAGCACCGGCUAACUACGUG
rnacentral:rRNA from 1 species